UACAGAGGGUGCGAGCGUUAAUCGGAAUUACUGGGCGUAAAGCGCGCGUAGGCGGCUUUUCAAGUCGAUUGUGAAAUCCCCGGGCUUAACCUGGGAACUGCAGUCGAGACUGUCUAGCUAGAGUAUGGGAGAGGGUAGUGGAAUUCCCGGUGUAGUGGUGAAAUGCGUAGAUAUCGGGAGGAACACCAGUGGCGAAGGCGACUACCUGGCCUGUUUCUUGACGCUGAGGCGCGAAAGCUAGGGGAGCAAACGGG
rnacentral:rRNA from 1 species